UCCCUCGCAUUAGCUCAAGCCCGCCAGUAAAACAUUUGCCAUUUUCCCUCAAAACAAACAGAAACACAAACUCUCUUUCUUCCUCCGACACACAAAUUCUAUUCUAUUCGCAGUUCAAAAAUAAAAGAAAAAAUUAUAUUCUAUGCCUUUGCUUUGGAAUUAGUGUUUUAGCCAAAUGAUAACAACCGGAAACUCAUCAUCUCCGUCAGCAAAGCCGCCUCCGCCUCCGCCACCGCCACAUCCGAUGGCCAUGUCAUCAUCUACAAUUACAACAGCAGCAGCAACAACAACAACUGCUACCGCUACUACUACAACGUCAACAGCAGCACCUCCUAUUAACACAGCAGCCGUGGAUGGUUCAGGGAAGAAGGUUAGGAAGCCUUACACUAUCACCAAGUCACGUGAGAGCUGGACCGAAGAAGAACAUGACAAGUUCCUUGAAGCUCUCCAGCUGUUUGACCGUGACUGGAAAAAGAUAGAGGAUUUUGUGGGUUCUAAGACUGUGAUUCAGAUUCGGAGCCAUGCUCAGAAGUACUUUUUGAAGGUCCAAAAGAAUGGGACUGUUGCGCAUGUUCCUCCUCCUCGACCUAAGCGCAAAGCUUCUCAUCCUUAUCCGCAAAAGGCAUCCAAAAAUGUUCUAUUGCCACUCCCGGCAUCCCUGGCUUACCCUUCUUCAAUGAAUACCCUUGCACCUGGAUAUGCUCCUUGGGAUGAUACUUCCAUGCUUAUAAAUACUGCAACAAGCAAAAUUAUGCCGUCGCAAGACGAAUUCACUCUUCAUGGAGCUGAAGCUGAUCUUGGAUCAAAGGGAGCAGCAAGGUUAAAUACGAAUACUGUUAGUUGCUUGGGGACCCUAAGCAGAACGCUGCCAAGUUCUGAUAUAAAGAAACAAGGGAAACAGGCUCCUGUGAUCCAUGUUGCAGGUCUACCAGAUUUUGCUGAAGUAUACAGCUUUAUUGGAAGCGUCUUUGAUCCAGAAACCACAGAUCAUGUGCAAAAGCUCAAGGAAAUGGAUCCUAUAAACUUUGAAACUGUUUUGUUAUUGAUGAGGAAUCUCACUGUUAAUUUGUCUAAUCCUGAUUUUGAGCCAGUUUUGAUAUCCUUGGUUGAUUCAGAAGAAGGUCCUGUCAUCGUAUGAGAUCAAUUCCAAAACAGUGGGAGUUGCUGCUGAGAGCCAAACUAAUGACAUAUCUUGUUGAACUUUUUUCUACUCACAACAUGCUGACCAUAAACAGGUGAUUUGUUGCGCCUUCACUGGAACAAUUACGAGUGCCUCCUGCCAUAUCUGUAGAGACAAACCAUAGCAGCCUUAGGCAAGUAUGUUGUCUUGUAAUGGUGGAAGAAAGUUGUGUAAUGAUUUCUGAAGUCCCCAGCCCAGGGAUCUUAAUUUCCACUGGGAAUUGCAUAGUAUUUUGGAAGGUCUGAUAUGAUCAUAAUAGGUGGGUGGGUAUUUAACCAGUCGUUGAUAUAUUGUAAAUUUGUAGUGGUGCAGGAGGUCCGGUGUAAGUAAACUACAAGAACACAUUACCAUAAAGUUACUGUCUUCAAACUUGUUAAUUGUAGGUAAAUUUGUAAUUACUUUUUUGGCUGUA